GAUGAAGAACGUAGCGAAAUGCGAUAAGUAGUGUGAAUUGCAGAAUUUAGUGAAUCAUCGAAUCUUUGAACGCACAUUGCGCCCCUUGGUAUUCCAUGGGGCAUGCCUGUUCGAGCGUCAUUUGUACCUUCAAGCUCUGCUUGGUGUUGGGUGUUUGUCUCGCCUCUGCGUGUAGACUCGCCUCAAAAUAAUUGGCAGCCGGCGUAUUGAUUUCGGAGCGCAGUACAUCUCGCGCUUUGCACUCAUAACGACGACGUCCAAAAGUACAUUUUUACACUCUUGACCUCGGAUCAGGUAGGGAUACCCGCUGAACUUAAGCAUAUCAAUAAGCGGAGGA
rnacentral:misc_RNA from 1 species